AAGAUGGAAUGCAGUGUUAAUACAAUAGAUACCAUCUUCUCCAUCUAAUACAAGAAAUUGUGUGGGUAGUUUUCUCCCGUUGAUGUUUGAGCUCAUUGCCUUGGAAUUGGGAGAAUACUGCUUGUGGCACUAGAAAAAGUGGAAAGGAGCUCAGCUUCAGGGUCAAGGGUUGGAGGUAGCAUUGCUUCAAUCCAGAAGAUUGCAGCUCCGGAGAUAGUCUAUGAAUGACAAAGAUCCCUGGGGAGAGUAGUUGAGCUCACGGGUUUACGAGAUUGCAUUGACCUGGGCAUACCACUUGAUGCUACGGUAGAGCGGGCUGCUCAGCAGUUCAGACAGAGAAGAUAUCGGUCAAAUAACCUGGUUUUGAUCGCAAGUGAACUACUGAAACUCCAAGCAACCGGUCUAUCUCAUCAUGCUGAUAAGGCACAGUGGAAAGGCAGGGGAGAUGCUUACAAGACUGUUUUCAGCUCUACUCAGACUUGGGAGUUAAUAAGAGAGGUGAGUCCGACAGUAACAUGGAGCAAAGGGAUUUGGUUUACACUAGCUACACCUAAAUACUCUGUGGUUGCGUGGAUUGCUGUCCAUAAUAGAUUGGCAACAGGAGACAGGAUUCAAAUCUGGAACCCACUUGCAGAUGCAACUUGCACUCUCUGCAAACUUCAGAAUGAGACAAGAAAUCACUUGUUCUUCACAUGCUCCUAUUCUAUGCUAAUAUGGAGGACGCUCACAAUGAAGUUGAUGGGGAACCGAUACUCCAGUAACUGGGAUGAUACUUUACA